AGUUCGAGACCAGCCUGGACUACAUAGUGAGUUCCAGAUAAUAACAAGAUCUAAUUGGAGUAACAAAAGACAUUGAAGAAGAGAAAGAAAAGAAAUCAGGCUGACCAUCCUAGGUGCUGCACACACUUACAUUAGUCCUUGAAAAUCAAUGGAGAUUGCCCAUUGGGGAAUCGGAUCAAGCCAUAUUCUUUGGUGCCUUCAGCUGGGAGAUGGCAGAGACUACACGAGGGAAAAAGGAAGCCUAAGUCAAGAAGAGGUGAGAAGAUCUUUUUGGAAGACUGAAUAAUAUCAAUAAAUGGAAAUAAAAAGAGGAU